UACGGAGGGUGCAAGCGUUGUCCGGAAUCACUGGGCGUAAAGGGCGCGUAGGCGGCUCGGUAAGUCGGGGGUGAAAUCCUGCGGCUUAACCGCAGGGCUGCCUUCUAAACUGUCGAGCUUGAGCACGGUAGAGGCAGAUGGAAUUCCCGGUGUAGCGGUGGAAUGCGUAGAGAUCGGGAAGAACAUCAGUGGCGAAGGCGGUCUGCUGGGCCGUUGCUGACGCUGAGGCGCGAAAGCCAGGGGAGCAAACGGG
rnacentral:rRNA from 1 species